AUGGUUGUGAGCCACCAUGUAGGUGCUGGG
rnacentral:piRNA from 1 species